CUGACAUCACGUUCAAGAUCAAGAGCCCCUUCUGACAGCACAUCACCGGCGGGAGGAAGUGAGCGAGAGAGAUUAAAGAAAGUGUGCAAAUAAAGAGAGAAAAUGGAGCCAGCGGAGGUCGAGAAGUGCUUUGAGGUCGCUAUGAGGCUGGUCAAGGAGGCGGGAAAGGUGGUGCGUGAGGCCAUCAAGGAGCAGAAGAACAUUGAGACCAAGACCUCCUGUGUGGACCUGGUGACCGAGAGUGACAAGGCCGUGGAGAAGCUGCUGAUUGAGGGGCUGACGCAGGCCUUCCCCGGGCACAAGUUCAUCGGCGAGGAGACCACAGCUGACACAGGUUCCAAGUGCGUUCUGACCGAUGACCCGACAUGGAUAAUUGACCCAAUCGAUGGUACCAUGAAUUUCGUCCACUCCCUGCCCUAUACCUGUGUCUCCGUGGGGCUCUGGACGGGGCGGACGGGGCAGAUCGGGAUAGUCUAUAACCCCGUCCUGGAGCAGAUGUUCACCGCGAAGAAGGGAGGCGGGGCGUUCCUCAAUGGGGAGAGAAUCCAUGUGUCCGGGUGUAAAGACCUUAGCCAAGCCCUGGUCUUCGCUGAGAUGGGAACCAGCCUUGACCCCGAGAAGGUCAAAACCGUUCUGACCAACUUGACCACCCUCAUGCCACGCGUACACGGCGUCCGGGGCAUGGGGUCGGCGGCUCUCGGCAUUGCGGCUGUGGCGGCUGGCUGGGGCGACAUUUACUACCACCAAGGCCUUCACUGCUGGGACACGGCAGCCGCCACUAUCCUGGUGGCGGAGGCGGGUGGAUGUGUGUGUGACUCGAAAGGGUCCGGGACUGUGGAUCGGCGGCUCUUAACCUGAGCUCUGUGGCGGCCGGGUGGGGUGACGCGGCGAUGCACCUCACCGCCACGCUGGGCCCCUGGGACAUGGCCGCCGGGGUGCUGCUGGUGGCGGAGGCGGGGGGGGCGGUGUGCGGGGUUGGAGGCGGUGAAUUUGACAUUAUGCGUCGUCGAGUGCUCUGUGCAGCGACCCCAGAGCUGGCCCAGGCUAUAGCGGGCCUUCUCAAGCAGUUCCAGCCUACCCCUGAUGGCGACCUGCUGACCUGCUGAACCUGCUGAUGAUGGAGGAGGAGUAGGAGGAGGAGGAGGAGGAAUAGGAGGAGGGGAAGGAGGAGGAGGGAAGGUUAUGUUGGGUAUGAGAGAGAGAGAGAGAGAGGGAGAGAGAGGUGGUGAUGGUGGUGGUGUUGAAGGGAGGAACUGUAGUAGUAGUAGUAGUAGUAGUAGUAGUAGUAGUAGUAGUAGAGUGCUGACCCAAUCCCUUAUGCAAGAGUUAACCAGCAUCUUCACUCUUUCAUCCCUGUACUGUCCCAAUCCCUUAUGCAAGAGUUAACCAGCAUCUCCAAUCUUUCAUCCCAAUACUGUCCCAAUCCCUUAUGCAAGAGUUAACCAGCAUCUCCACUCUUUCAUCCCUGUGCUGUCCCAAUCCCUUAUGCAAGAGUUAACCAGCGUCUUCACUCUUUCAUCCCUGUACUGUCCCAAUCCCUUAUGCAAGAGCUA